rnacentral:lncRNA from 1 species
UCAAUAGGUUAACCUAGUCGAUUCUAAUCGAUCAAUUUAAUGUCUAAAGUAAGUAUUUAGAUGGUGAUUGUUUAAUUGGUUUCAUUAUCUAACUUGAUCAAUUUUGAUUGGUAUCUAAGAAAAGCAACGGGGGGACCCCCACACAUCUUAACUUAUCUGGCCAUCUUGAGAGAUUCAGUUUCAUGUUAGAUUACUUGUUGACUCGAGUUCACCCAUGCCAACUAGGCUGGUUAGACAUG